UUCUAGCGUGUGUGUCAUUUGAAAGUUGUUUACAGUUGCCGAGAGCAAGAGAAGCGGUAACUUACUGCCCGUGACGCGAUAUUAUUUUGAUAGCAUCAAAAUGUGUACUUAGAUAAUUAUCAUGUCAUGAUGUUUCGCAGUUCCAUUGGUAUCACUACUGCCGGGAUAUAUAAAAGCGUUUCGUGCUAGACGUAUUAGGGAAAAAAUAUAUUACGAUAAAAACUUCAUAAGCAGCAUGGAAAUCGAGAAAGAAGUGUGGAAAUCAGUGUUGCAAAUUCUCAUGUUUCAGCCUGUAAUGGAACUGAAAAAUGUCACCGAAUUGUUGUCGGAACUGAAUGACAGAAGAACAGUGGCGGUUGAUUUGGACAGUGUUAUUCACCAGAUAAAUCGGCAUGUGAAUCGACACGGACAGCAGUUAACUAAACAGAUCUGUGAAAUUACAGAAAAUGAAUAUCUCAUCUUAUUCAGUACGAGCAACAACGCAGCUAUUCAGACUCUGACAGGUGGUUACACAAAGGAACACAGGGAGGUCUACAAAAGGAUUCUGGCAGAAAUUAUGACUUCAGAGACUUUGGGGUGUGUGUCAUCUACCCAUGUGCUGAAUAUGUCACAAGAUAUGCCUUUUCAUAUAACAAAAGGGCAUCUCCAGGAUAUUGCAGAGAAACUCAUUAAUGAUGGGUGGUUCUGCAAAAAGGAAGGUAAGAUCUACAUAGGCGUUCGCACCAUUGCUGAAAUGGCACCAUACAUUGCAGAAGCAUAUGCAGAUUGUGUUUCGAACUGUCACCUGUGCAAAGACUAUGUUUUUGUGGGAAUUGUCUGUGAAUGUGGUGUAGUAUGUCACAAACGAUGUGUGGACAAAAUGAGAAAAAUUUUGUCAGGUGUAUACGAGUGCCCCAAAUGCAAAGUUCAGCAACAGAUAUAGAAUUUUGGUAGUGUCAAAUACAGACAACAAAUCUUGUGCAAAAUCUUUGAUCUUGGAGUAGUUUCCUUCUGGAAGAAACUUGUAAAACUCAACACAGCUUUCUUCUCUAAACUGGUCCUUCACGGAAUAAUCAGCUCGCAGGUCAAUGAUUUCCAUUUGCAGUGUGCCUGGACAUCUUCCACUUUGCAAGAAAAGGGGUUCUGGAAAAUCUCGAUCUCAUUGGAAUAAGCGUCUAAAUACAAGAACCUGGAAGAGAUCUCCUUCAGAUCACCAAGAAAUUACCUUGUGAACAAAAAUGGAGAACAUUAAACAUGUUCACCAUUUGAUGACUGGGAGUUGGCAAAAUGUGCUAUUCAGCAAUAUCUAACAACUGGACAAUGUGCCCAUGAACUGCAGCCCUUGGCUGGCUGGACAAGACAUACAUCUGAUCGCUGCAGUCCCCGGGUCACCAGCUAGCCACUUACAGCAGCCGACCAGCUUACCUGCAUGAACAAAUGAUCUGGAAAGUCCACUUCCGAGUACACAGUUACAAUGUUUCCCAAAAAGGAGCAGAUUAUACCUGACAGUCUGGCCUGCCCAGUUUUCAAACUGCCACUAGAUGGUUCUUACAGUGGCAAAUGAGUUAUGGAAGUCAACAAUCUGAUACCUGUCCUUUUAUAACUCAAGGGCAUAUGUGCUAUUUUCUUGUAUUGCUGUUCACCUGUGAGCUUGCUACUAUUGAUCUCAUGCUAUUGUUGUUUUUUAAUUUUCUGUAAUAACUUAGUUACUGUUGAGACCGUGUAACCGUUGCUCUCUGCAACAUGCUUUAUAACAGUGAUUUCUUAUUCCUCUCGUGCUUGCUUAGUGGCAGUUUUAAUAACCUAUUAAUCUUGGAUUGAAAAUAUGCCAUCUUGGGACUUAGUGAUAAUGUCUGCACAGGUCAGUUUUCUAUACACGCUAAAACGGUGUUUACCCACCUUACUUGUAACCGUAAUGUCGAAAUAGUUGAUGGCUUCUUUAUUUUCUGUAAACCUAAUUUUUGGGUGAAUGGCACUCAUUCUCUCCACUAUGUCAUUAAAAUCGCUUUGAUCUCCUUUAACCUACAAAAUAGCAUCAUCAACGUAGCGGUAAUAGCAGACAACUUUACUGGCUGUUGCAGGGUUCUUAGUGAAAAAUUAGUUUUCUAAAUGAUUAAGGCAAAUCU